rnacentral:rRNA from 1 species
CACGGGGGUUGGAGGGCAAGUCUGGUGCCAGCAGCCGCGGUAAUUCCAGCUCCAAUAGCGUAUAUUAAAGUUGUUGCAGUUAAAAAGCUCGUAGUUGAAUUUCGAGACCGGCUUACUGGUCGUGCUUUUGUGCGUACUGGUAUAAUCGGUUUCUCCUUUCUGACGAACUUUAAUGCCAUUAAUUUGGUGUUUUAGGGAAUCAGGACUGUUACUUUGAAAAAAUUAGAGUGUUUAAAGCAGGCUCACGCUUGAAUACAUUAGCAUGGAAUAACGGAAUAGGACGUUUGAUUCUAUUUUGUUGGUUUCUAGGAUCGACGUAAUGAUUAAUAGGGAUAGUUGGGGGCAUUAGUAUUCAAUUGUCAGAGGUGAAAUUCUUGGAUUUAUUGAAGACUAACUACUGCGAAAGCAUUUGCCAAGGAUGUUUUCAUUAAUCAAGAACGAAAGUUAGGGGAUCGAAGACGAUCAGAUACCGUCGUAGUC